GGAGGCCUGCGGUUUAAUCGGACUCAACGCCGGGAAACUCACCAGAUAAGACAGCUGAAUGAUAGUCGGGCUGAAGACUCUACUUGACUAGCUGAGAGGAGGUGCAUGGCCGUCGUCAGUUCGUACUGUGAAGCAUCCUGUUAAGUCAGGCAACGAGCGAGACCCACGCCAACAGUUGCCAGCUCGUCCUCCGGGAUGGUGGGGACACUGUUGGGACCGCCUCUGCUAAAGAGGAGGAAGGAAUGGGCAACGGUAGGUCAGCAUGCCCCGAAUUAUCUGGGCUACACGCGGGCUACAAUGGGUGGGACAAUGGGUAUCGACACCGAAAGGUGAAGGCAAUCUCCUAAACCCAUCCGUAGUUCGGAUUGUGGGCUGCAACUCGCCCACAUGAAGCUGGAAUCUGUAGUAAUCGUGUCUCAAAAUGGCACGGUGAAUAUGUCCCUGCUCCUU
rnacentral:rRNA from 1 species